UGUAGCUCAGUGGUAGAGUGCAUAUGUGAGGACCUGGGUUCAAUUCCCAGCA
rnacentral:tRNA from 1 species